rnacentral:rRNA from 1 species
AUUGAACGCUGGCGGCAGGCCUAACACAUGCAAGUCGAGCGGGGUGAUGGUGCUUGCACUAUCACUUAGCGGCGGACGGGUGAGUAAUGCUUAGGAAUCUGCCUAUUAGUGGGGGACAACAUCUCGAAAGGGAUGCUAAUACCGCAUACGCCCUACGGGAGAAAGCAGGGGAUCACUUGUGACCUUGUGCUAAUAGAGGAGCCUAAGUCGGAUUAGCUAGUGGGUGGGGUAAAGGCCUACCAAGGCGACGAUCUGUAGCGGGUCUGAGAGGAUGAUCCGCCACACUGGGACUGAGACACGGCCCAGACUCCUACGGGAGGCAGCAGUGGGGAAUAUUGGACAAUGGGGGGAACCCUGAUCCAGCCAUGCCGCGUGUGUGAAGAAGGCCUUAUGGUUGUAAAGCACUUUAAGCGAGGAGGAGGCUCUUUUGGUUAAUACCCAAGAUGAGUGGACGUUACUCGCAGAAUAAGCACCGGCUAACUCUGUGCCAGCAGCCGCAGUAA